GCCGGGGUUUCUUUACUGGGUACCGUCAUUAUCUUCCCCAGCGAAAGAGCUUUACGACCCUAAGGCCUUCAUCACUCACGCGGCAUGGCUAGAUCAGGGUUGCCCCCAUUGUCUAAGAUUCCCC
rnacentral:rRNA from 1 species